AUCGUCGAUCUGUCACAAAGUGUGUAAAUAUUGCGUGUCAGGAGUGAAACAUUCGUGAUACAGCUUUAUCAAACCAAAGAAGUGCCUGAGAAGAUCCAGGAAGAACGAGUAUAAUCUUCCUUGCUUGCCAAAGAAAUGCAAAUGUAAUAUAUAAAUUGACACGUCGUCGAGAAGUACAUAUUUCCACAAACGAACGUUCAAAUGCGAUACUCAGAGGUGUACCACGCACCUGCGACGCCACGAGUCGAAUGCGAGUUGGACUGAACUAGGUCAAGCUCUGGAAGAGCCGAGAAAAGUAUCGUUGGCACACGUCGAAGAAUCCUCCAGAUGAAAUUUCGCAAAUUUUCCAACACGUCCAGCCCCAAAAUGGAAUUGCUCUCAAGGCGGUCGUCCAGCGACAGGAUAUCGACCCUCAAACGGUCGAGGUCCUUCCGAGCGUCGAUGAAACUCAUGUCAAAGCUGCGAACUCACGCGAAUCUGCGUUUAAACGGCGGCUUCGACUUGUCUCCGGUAUCGCUGCAAACUCAGCACUCCAAGAAACAACGAAACAAGCUGUCCCUGGCAGAGGAAGCCUCUGCGCCAGCCAGAAACACCAAAGAUCCUUGCGUGAAGUGUCCCUCGAGGAACGAUAACGAGGUACUCGAGAGCCUCAACUCGAAAGAUACGGUUUCGUCGAGCGAGUUAGAGUCUCGCAAAAUCAGCAAGGACCUAAAGAGCAAGCUGUGUCUGACCGACAGGAUAAUGGGGAAGAAUCGUAAGGACCAAGAGAAGUCGUCGAAGAGGUACAACGAUACCAUGUCACCGAGGGUGACGCAUAUGUUCCGGUGGAAAAGCAACGAGGAGACCUCGUCGAUAUCCAGCGGGGAGAGGAAAAACGUUUUCCGUUCUAUCGAUAGCCACGUGUCCUAUGAGAAUCCUACUUUCCGCCUGGACAGCUCUUUAGACUCGUCGGUCUCCAGUUUCCUGUUCGAAUCCGAGCAUUCGGAUCACGUUUCGAACGAUGUCGAAUGUAAGGACGUGUCCUCCACGGAACCCUGCGUGGACACGGGGUUGACCGUGGUCCUGGACUCCGUGAGGUCGAGCGAGGACGAAACGAUGGCGAAACUCGCCGACGAAGGCAGCCAUCGAGCCAUGUUCGACAAGGACAGGUACCUCGAGUGCAAUAGGAGCUAUCGGCCUGUGUUCACGAGUUCCAAAGCUAGGAGCCUGUCGGUGAACGACGUGGUCCUGCAGGAGGAGGAAGAGGAAGCUGCGAGCUGUUUGAACACUGAGGACGGGGCGAGUCUCGAUUGGCAGAGCAGUCACGCGGAUGAUCUGGCCACGCUGAAGGGACGCAAGUCGUCCGAGAAAAUUAGAAAAACUUCCGUUUGCUCGUCAAAGUCCUGCAGGAUCAGGACUGUGGAUAAUAUAACUAACUUCUGGACGAAUGCCCGCGGUGGCAGCUUCCGUAGCAAGGUCUCGGUUGGAAGGAAGAAGUCGGUGAAAGAUCCGAGAGAACACGAGUCCAUGGGGCAGGAUAGGGUUCUCGUUACGACCACUUCUGGAUCAAAGCUGUACUCUUUGCAAGGGAUGGAGUUCCUGGAGGGUUUCGGGAAGAAAAAACAGCAGCCGAAUCAGCAAACGAACAAUAUAUCGUCGGUGCACAUCAAUCCUCUAACGGCACAGUCUCUCAACAUACACCUGCAUGCUCUCUUCGCUGCAGUGGAACAUGGCCACCUGGACAAAGCCAAAACAAUUUUGGAGUCGACAGACGUGGACGUGAACAGCGUGAACAGCGACGGCCUGUCACCCCUGGAUGUUGCGGUGCUCAGCAACAAUAGGCCGCUUGCAAAAAUGCUGGUCGCGUUCGGCGCACAGGAGGGUAACCAGUUCAAAUCUCCGGAGUCCCUGGGCAGUCAUUUGGCUUCGUUGUUGUUGGAGGCGGAACACAGAGUUCAAGAACUCGGCGGGAGCACUUCCGGUAGCGGUGGGACUACCCUUCUGGAGCCUCCGAGCAGUCAUAGAUCAAGUUUUUCGUCGCAGCACAACAAUCUCACGGGAUGUGGCGGUAGCGCCGAAGAAAAGCAGCUGGCUUUGUGGGAGAGAAGAGCUAGAGCUCUUAGAAAAAUGUUGCUUGGGUUCGAUCAAGCGCGGCCGCCAGACAUGCCGUUCUUAGUCGCAGUGGAUGUUACGGGAACAAACUCGGUAACAAUGAGGUUCCAGGAACCCGAUUCCCACGAUUCCCCUAUCUGCACGAAAUUCAAGGUUCAGUGGAGCAUCAAGGAAGAUUUCUCAGUGAUUUGUGGAGAGAGAGAGGUUCUAGACAUGAAACAGAGGGAAUGCAGGAUCGACGAUCUUAUUCAGGGACAGAAGUACUAUUUUCGAGCGGCUGCUGGCAAUUUGAAGGGUUACAGCAGGUUCAGGAACUCGACCCCUGCCCACGUAACACCUAGUAGCUGGAGGGACAUCGAUGGCAGAGUGCCAAGGUUUGCUGGCCGUUUGGAGCAGUUGAAUACUUUAUUCACGGACAUAAGGCGACCAGAGUACACUCAAGAGACACCGGCCGUGCAGAGGCGUAAUCACAAGAAGAAGACAACGAUAAAGCAGCUCUUCACGGCAACUAGCAAGUUUCAGAAGAACCUGAGGCGCGGGGUCUUCCUCGCCUGUCUACUCUAUCACGAGGAUAAAGUGUUGGUAACGAACGAGGAUUUCUUACCUGUGAUCGAAGUCGACGAGACUUAUCCUAGCUGUAUUUACAACGACUUCCAUUGGCUUAUGAAAGUUGGCUGUACUUGGGACGAUGUUAAAGUUCUUCGACAAGACAUGGAGAAAAGUCAUAGCAGCUCAACAAAUCAUUUCAGGAUAAAACUUUUACAGGCUGCUGCACAAAUGCAGGCAGCACUAUGUAUACAGGACCUUGGUCAACUGUACCAUAAACCCAUUAGAGACGUUCAAGGCACCCUGGUUUUCUCUACAGUGAAUUACAUAAAAUCUCCAAAGUUGAUCUCAGUGUUGAACAGCAGAUGGCUGCCUCUCAGUAAAGUUACAAAAAAGGUUAUCACUCAUGAAGACAGUAACGUCGCGGAUAUUUUAAUAGCCAGUAUACAGGAACAGAUGACUUACCACCAAGUUAGUAGUAUUAAACUGUCGAAGGGACUUUAUCUCGGUUAUCUGAAGAUGCAGAGUAGCGUCGAUCUCAUUCAAGUCGUGGUACCAGCAAAGUCGCCUAACGUUUUACCUCAUUGUAAAAUCCGUGACAACCCACAUGUUUCUGCAGAAGAAUGGGAUUAUCUGAAAAGGAUAACUCGUAUUCACGCAUCAGAUGCAUCGGUCAAAGAUUGCGAAGAAAAAGAAAAUGUUACAAACGAAUCCCAAGGUACAGAACAGCAAAAAUUAUUCGUCGAACUCGUCGCUGCAACAUCUAGGCGAUUGUUCAAUUACAUGGAAAUCAGUUCCGAAGAUUCCUUGGUCCAUCGACUCUAUGACGCCGAAGUUAUCGAUCUUACUCACGAUGUGUCCUUUCUGAUCGCUGUGCCUCCAGCAGAAACCGCCUGCUGUGUACCUGGAACCAGAGAAAUCCUCCUUCAACGUGGCGAUCUUCUGUCCUUGCCUAUCCAAGUAUUCGAGAUGGUUCAUCUAAACACCUAUCAGAAGGAUGUAAUUAACAGAUACUCAAGAUUAAGUUGCAUUCUGGAACUUGAUACGGCGCAAGCCCAGUACAAUCAUAGAGAAGCCUUCAGUUCUCUGGAGUUAAGCGUAGCAAAGGAUAAAUUGACUAGGUUGCAAGAUCUUCAGACUCAAGUAAACACCGUGUGGAAGGGAGCUAGGUGGCUCAUAGAUGUGAUCACGUUUGCUAGAGAUCGUGGAUCUUCGCAGCAAAGCGGCUCGUCACAAACGGUUGGAAUUUCAAUGAAGCACCUGCUCGGCCUCGACAGAAACAAGAGCAACAGUAACAGCAACAGUCUGAAGAGAAGUUUGCUCCAGUUACCGCCACGUGAUCCGAAGCUGGUGAAAUCUAGUCCAGGUCGAGGUAGCUGGCCAGGUCCUAACGUGUCCAAUUCUUCCUCGAAUCUACUCACUACCGAGUUCAGUAAAAGCGAGCAACAAUUACCUAGUGGCCAGUACAUUCGCAAAGGCAGCAACACUUCCAAUGUAUCGACCAGCUCAGAACAUCCAAAAUCCUCUGUACCUCUGAGCAGCACCAGCAAUCUUAGCAACACAACCAGCGCUGGCAGCAACAAUCAUCUGGUACCAUUACAGAACACCAGGUUACCGCCUUCCAAAUCCGAGGACACUCUGAUCCUAACAAAAUACAAACACAGUCCCAGAAAUAGGUCAGCUACCAUCACGUCCGCGUCGGCCAGCACCAGUCCCUUACUCAGCAUUAAGCCUAUCAUCUACGGCGGCUCGCUUUUAAGCGUGUCGACAGCCAUGACAAAUACGACAAGUCUAUUAAGCGUCAGCAACACCAAUUCCGACAGUUUACAUUCGCUCAGUAGUGAUGAAUAUUCCACGCCUAAUUCGAGUGUCUGCAUAAAGAGCGGACAUACGAAGAGCAAACCGACCAAACCUACUGCUAGUGUUGCAGCCACGGCAACUGGUUCUUUGGAGAGUCAACUGGAGGAAGAGAAGGAUGAAGCAACUAUGAUGCCGGCUCCACUGCCUGGCAUUCUUCAGGGAACACAAGUCUAACCUGAUUGUAGUUAAAAACAGCUCACUUGGUCUUCUAGUGCAGACCGAUGUAGCAGAUAUAUGAGUUUACGCGGCCUACGAAACCGGCUUGGCUUCCGGAACCAGCCUGAAAUUGCACGUCACUCCGAAGACCACAGC
rnacentral:misc_RNA from 1 species